rnacentral:lncRNA from 1 species
UGCAGCGGUCUGGAGGGGAUCUGGGGAAAUCACCGAUGUGGAAGAGGUGGUGGGGGCUUGUUUUGAUACAACAUUAACUUGUUCAGUGGGUGUCUUUGUGGAGGAGUCUACAGCAGCAGGCGACUUGGAGGCGGAGAAGGACAAGGGGGAUGAGACUUCAACAUUGCCACCAUUUUCUUUGGCAUCCUGGGCAAGAAAGGGUGACUGAGCAAUUCGUGGCUUUGUGCGUACUGGCUGUUGGGAUGAUUUGGAUGGUUCCUUUGAUGCAGUGUCUUUGGCAGGAGUAGCGGGCUGAAGAAAGGCUUGCAUAACAUUCUUCACCGUACCAGCCGCUGGCUUUACAUCGACAUUCUCUUCGUCUGAAGUCUCAUUGUUUUGCGGUAAAACCUUCGAUUCUAAGAACGGGGUAUUUUGGGCUUGCUUAAUUCGUUCAGCGAUUGACAACGAAGAGUAUGGUAUUGGAGAAGUCGAUCCUUCACGCUUCUCUGCCUUAACUACCAUUUCGGGUGUGCUUGCUCCCCUAUCGCUAUUUGAAGCACUAGUAGCAAGGGUAUCAGUAUGCGCUGAGGAAGCCUUGCUAGUUGUUGCUUCAACAGCUUUUGUGGUCGAAGAUGAUGCGUCAUCUUCCUCCUUUGCAGUCUCGGAGUCCUUGGUGGUCGAUGUUUUUGAUUCAGUGGGCUUGAUGGGAAACACGCUUGCGUUGCUUGGCGAUUUGGUAUCUUUCAAAGGCGAAAUUGUGGCUUCCACAGAGGAUUUGGUAUCUGCGGCUUUAGUUGACCCGGUAUUUUUCGUUUCUUCCUUUUUGGCACUAUCAAUCGAUAUCUGCCUGGGUGGACGACGGGAUCGUGGAUGAGCACGACCUUUUGUCAAAUGAACCAACGUUGCGGACUCUUGUUCUUUUGCAUCACCAGACAUUCCUUUUAGAUCUUGAAAGCUGGAAAAGCUUCGAGCAGUAUUCAAACCUUCAUCAGCGUCCUCAUUUCCUCGGCUUAUGGGCGGCGUCGUAGUAGCUGGACGAGGUUGAUUUUGCUGCAUCAUCAUUCCUGGCGCCAUCGACCAUUUCGAUGAGGACAUCAAUCCUUCACGAAGCUCUUUAAUCUUAGACGACGACAUGGCUAAUCCGUGUAUUCUUCAAUUGGGCGUAGGAAAUAUUCAAGCUGUAAGUUCAGUGAAAAAACGUUGGCUGUUCAAAACGAUAGGAAAUUAUAAAGGAAUUUGAGAAACUUCUUUUAAAACCAAUCUUCUCCUAAAGAGAACUUUUAAUGCCAACAAAUGUAAUUACCUAAUAAAAGGAAUUACAACUCUAGCAUGCUUUGGGCAAAUUCACAUUUUGUUCUUGAGUAUCGUAACUUCGCUACACUACGUCUCCCCAAUACUGACUUUAUGCCAGGCUCCAAACCCCUAUACCAUAUGGAAAACAUGUUACUUGGUCUUUUCGAGUGUUAUUAAAGAGGCGUAUCUAAAUACCACAAAGGUAUAGUAGGUAGUAUGCUUCAAGUAUAUAUGAAUUAAUUCAUCUUCUAAUUUAUUGAUUUUUCCCUAAAGAAGAACGGCCGCAAAGGCGAAUCAAUCAGCAUGGAACCGAGAGAAGUUGAAACUGAGAAUGACCCCAAGCUGAUUAUUUAAAGCCCUUCAUAAUUGAAUUUCAGGAAUAAUUCUAAAUAACUUGUCAACAUCUGGUAACAAAUUCCUGCAACUAUACAAAGAUAUUUUUCCAUCGAUAUAGUGCGUUCAAGCGUCGAUCCUGAUAACUUGUUUUACGAAUAAUCACUUCGCACACGCUUAGUACUCUUUGAUAGGAAAUCUUUAAUGUAAAUAAACAAGGAAUUUGGCAACUUUGACUAUUUAUUUAUUUAGAGUAGCCAAAAGGAUAUAUAAAGAUUAAUCGUUAACUUUAUGGAAAUUUAUUAUUAAUCGUCAAACAUUUCAAUCCCACACGUUAAGACUCCUCGCCGCUUUUCCAUAAUCAUCCAAUAUAGUGAAUAACUGUGUUGUGCACUAGGCUUGUUUUUGUUUAACAAAUUAUGCCAAAAUUCUUUCUCGUAG